AACACACCAACCCCAAAACAAAGUGUUUGCCCCUCAGCAGUGGAUAUUUGCAACGCAAUCUUAGGCAUUUCUAUUCCUGCUGAGUUCAGUGGCGCUGACUUGGAGGUAGGUGGAUCAUGGGACAGAUGAAGUUAAUAGCCCAGUAGCUUACCGGUAUAUGCACUUAAGUUUGAUACACAAAACACAACAAAAAAGGAACUUCAGAUUUUAUGGCCCAGAGCAAGGAGCUGAGGGUUUGCUUUGGGUCACACAACUAAUCACAUAAUCACACACCCAGCCAUGGGUGUAGCUGCCCCCCCCCAUCAAUACUAGCAUACUGAGGUUCUGUCCCUCCCCUCCCAGAUCCUGGCUAUGCCAACAGUCUCCUCUGUAAACUAAGUCUUGAAUCACAUCUAAGCCUACACUUCUCUCUUUUUAAAUGCUAGUGUUUUUAUUUAGAUCUCAUUGAUGUACAGGCAUGCAUUUUUGUAUAAACGUUUUUUAAAUUUAAUUUUGAUAUAUAUAAAAGGAGGGAAAGAACAGAAAAAGUCCACGUCGAUAAUGUAGGUAUAAUAACAAAACCCAACAGUAAGGAAAACAGAUCACAUCAUGCUGAUCAUUGCAAUUUAACAAGGGAUCAAAUCAAGAGUUCCGUAUCUCAAGAGAGUUUGCUGGCUGUUGCAAGUAAUGUUUGCCAAAAUAUGUUACAAAAUCUCAGCAAAUAGUGGGAAAGGCGUCAGGUUUAGCAAGAUCCCACAGUGCCUGAAGAUGGAACGUAAGCUUUUCAGAAAGAGCCAUGUUCCACACUUUUUGUACUACACAAGGAUGUCCAUGUUUUGUAAAGUUUUCAAUUUUUCCACAAUGGUCAACUCAGGCAGCUACCAAUAAAGAAAAGCAAAAUAUAUUGAAACAGAACAUCUUGGUUAUUUCCUUUGAAGAUGGAGAGAAGGGCCAGCUGCAGUCUCAUCUAAAUUGCUCCUAUUAUUGCAGUCCUGGGUCUUGAGGCAUUUCCACCAUCACUUUAUUUAUUUCAUGAAAUUUAUACACUGCUUGAAUGCAAUAAAAUAAAAAAUUAAAGGAGUUUACAAAAAAAAGAUAAAACAAUAAAAUCAUUAUAAAGUGAAAAUAAGUACCACAUUCAGGGGCCACAUUAGACAAAAGACAAGAAAUUUGAACUGGGGCUCUGUCUCACUUAUGCCAAAGUUUUAACGCCGUUUCCCUAAUAUGGACUGAAAUAGAUUUCAAUGGUUUUUCCCAUCCAUAUUUUAUCCUACUGUCUUACCUUCCCAUAGAUUUUUGUACAGCUAAAACCCUUUAUUUCCAUGAACUAGGCCCUUUCCAAACCCCAUAUUUAAGAUGAUAGCCUCCCAAUCUUGCUAGAGGUCUAGUGUGUGGAUCUGACCACAGAUGGUCUAUCUGAUAUACUUGUAUCUAUCCUGCGUCCAGGUCACCAAAGUCCAGAUGAAGCUGCUCCUGGGUGACAGGAACAUCAUACCGGAAAAAAAGUUACACAUUCUGAUAUAGCCUUGUUUCCCAUUUUGAGAGGACCCUAUGAUAAG